ACAGUGAUUAGACGACCGGGGACAAACAUGACUUAGAUUUUCUCUCCGUUGGCUAAAUAAAAAAAAAGUUAAGUAUAUAUAUCAUUACGGAUUUUUCUGUUCAUAAGCCUUACAUGAAUGAGUUGUAUUGCCGUCAAGGAGUAUUCUUUCUUGUACAAGGUCAGAAAUUGGUUAAGAGACUAGUGUUGAGGUGGGGAGGACUCACCAACAAGCAUGCUUCCAAUUGAGGAAACUGGCUCCACACCUGUUGCUUCUCUAGUUGCCAAAACUGCAUUUCCAUUCUCCACAGCUUCCAAAUCAACAUCUACAUAGCUAGAAGCCCCUGUAUUCUCUGUACGCACUGGUCGGAGCAGACCCUGCAAUCUCAA
rnacentral:misc_RNA from 1 species